CUUUGUUUGUCUCUUCACCGCACCGCUUCUACAGUGAAAUCCAUCCCCUACUCUUGUCUGUCUCUCGUUUUCGUCCCUCCGUCGUCGGUUUUCCCCGUUCGCCAAAGGAUUUCUUGUGCAAACUGCCUUCCCUAGCCGAGCAGCUUCAAUCCUCACAUGGCUCUACCCUUAUGCCAUCGAGUUGAUCCCGUGGGUUGCAGCUGCUUUCUCGCAAGUCAUUCCUCCGAGUCAUCUAUAGCCUCCGAUUCCCGCUGUUGUUUUGGUUUUCGCUCCGCUUCGAUUCGGAUUCGUCGCUAGAAGCGCUGGUUCUGACGCUUUAGAGCUUCCGCCAUGGGGAAGAGUCACCGGCGCAAAGCAGGUGGUGAUCAGUUUGAUAGCAGCGAUGCUGACAGCGUGAGCUCCGUCUCAACGGGCUUCUCGGAGCUAACGCUGGCUAACGACACUGAGUACGUGAACUCCCAGGAGUUCGAGCUAGAGAAGUACAUCGAUGCUCUCUAUGAAAAGAGGGGAUCUACAAGAGAGAUGGCUUUGUCCAUGCUUGUGAAUGCAUUCGAAGGAAAUGUGCUUCUUGCGUUUGUCGAAAACAAGUUUAUUACAUUACUAAGUCAGUACAUCAAUUCAGUCAAGAGGGGUUCUACAAAAGAGGCUUGUUUAGCUUCUCGUGCUAUUGGACUGCUUGCCAUUACCAUUGGUGCUGGAAGUAGUGCCCACGAGAUAAUGGAAGAAUCGGUGUCCCGACUCUCUCAGGCCCUUAUGUCUGGGUCUGAUUCACUCAAGAAAUCAUCUGUACUGGAUUGCCUUGCUCUUGUAACUUUUGUAGGUGCAAAUGACUUGUUUGAAACUGAACUAUCGCUGAAAACAAUGUGGCAAGUGAUAUAUCCAAAAUCAGGUCCUAAUGUUGGGCCAGUGAAAAAACUUCCCCCUACUGUACUAGCAGCAGCAAUAUCUGCGUGGUCAUUUCUUUUCACAACUGUUAGUAGUUGGAAAAUCAAUCCUGACAAUUGGAAGGAGGAAAUUUCUUUCCUUUCAACUCUAUUAGAAGAUAAUGACCGUUCUGUUCGUAUUGCUGCUGGAGAAGCAAUAUCCAUUUUCUUUGAGUUAGGGAUAUUGGACCAGAAUGAGCAAGUUGAUACUGACAGUAUCAACCAUGAAGAUUUGAAACAUGGAGUGCUUGCAUAUAUGCAAUCAAUGAAGGCAAAGAUACUGUUUAAAGCAAAUGAACUCUCUGUUGAAGCAGGAGGUAAAGGAACUGACAAGAAAAAUCUUAAUGAUCAACGAGACUUGUUUCAGAAAAUCUUAGAUUAUGUCCAGACUGGUGAAUGUCCAGAAAUUUCAUUGAAGAUAUCAAACAAGCAUGGUUUCCUCAGGGCCUCAACAUGGACCGAAAUAAUACAACUGAACUUUUUGAAGCGUUUUCUUGGGAGAGGCUUUCUGAAGCAUUCCCAGGAUAAUGAACUACUACAUGAUAUUUUUGAUUUUGCACGAGAUAAUUCAGAAAGUCUAUCAAGUAAGGAAAAGAAGAUCUCUAGGACAGAAGGUGACAAAGGACGGACUCAAAAGAUGAAUAAGGAUCGUAAGUUGGCUCAGAGAUCCUCGGUUGCACAUAGGUGUUUGCUAUUAAAAUCCUAUCGGACAUUCUAUACUGGAGAUGGCUUUUGAUGUAUUAUGUAAUUGUAUCUGCUUUUUUGAUGUCAGUCAUCAAGGACCCUUCAAAACUGAGGAACGAAAACGAGGCCACUUCAUCCCUCGAGAGGAGUAGACCACAUGCAAUUUUCAAUCAUUACAAGUAGUAGUGGAUUCAAUUUGAAGGAACUGCCUUUGUUUGACAGACAUAUUAUCUUGUAAUCUUAGGCACUUGAUAUUAAAAUGAGACGAAUGUAACUUGUUUUUAUCGAUGCGAUGCGAUCUACUAGUAUAUUUAUUUUUGCACAA